rnacentral:rRNA from 1 species
UGAGGAAUAUUGGUCAAUGGGCGGAAGCCUGAACCAGCCAAGUCGCGUGAGGGAAGAAGGCCCUAUGGGUCGUAAACCUCUUUUGUCAGGGAACAAAAGCGAGUAUGUAUACUAGUCUGAGUGUACCUGAAGAAAAAGCAUCGGCUAACUCCGUGCCAGCAGCCGCGGUAAUACGGAGGAUGCGAGCGUUAUCCGGAUUUACUGGGUUUAAAGGGUGCGUAGGCGGCGAUGCAAGUCAGCGGUAAAAGCCCGGGGCUCAACCCCGGCGAGCCGUUGAAACUGCAGUGCUAGAGAAGGCGAGAGGUACGCGGAAUGCGCAGUGUAGCGGUGAAAUGCUUAGAUAUUGCGCAGAACUCCGAUUGCGAAGGCAGCGUACUGGCGCCUGACUGACGCUGAGGCACGAAAGCGUGGGGAUCGAACAGGAUUAGAUACC